GAGGGACAAUCUGUAGACACCGAAUUUUGUCACCCCCCGGUAAUGAUGACAAUAUGAAGGAUUAGAAAAAGAUGCUAUCUAAUAGCCCCCAACUGUUAGUUCUGGCGAUUAGAGAGAGUUAGUUUUCUUGUAUACCCCAAGAUACCCCCCAUUUGUGCUUUACCUAAACUACCCCUUUCUUUACCAUUCUCACCUUCAUCCUCUCAAAAUCGUGAAUUACAGGAGCGGAGCCCUAAACUAGUUGAAGCCGAUUAGGAAUCGACUGAUGAAGAAUUGCUCUUUCAUAAUCGUGAUGAACCCUAAGUGCGAUUGAAUCCAUUUGAAGGAGAAGGAGAAGAAUCGCUGAAUCGCCCUUUGAAAACCGUGAGGAACCCUUCAAGUUCUUGCGAUUUGGUGCCCAUACUCUGUAGAUAAAUGUCUAUUUCAAGUGUCAGUUGCAGCAAGUGUGAUGCAUUGAAGUACAAAUGUGUAAGGUGUACAUGCAAUCGAAAAGCUGUCAUUAGGGUCUCUUAGACAAAUGAGAAUCCAAAUAGACUUUUUAUAGCUGUCCAGACUUCAAUGGAUGUAAAUUUUUUGCUUGGUGUGACCCCAUUAAUGCCCCAAUCAUUGAUUUAUCGAACAAAGAAGUACCAGCAAACACCCCUAUCUGUAACUUGCUUGAGUUGCAAGCGGAGGUGCAAGGCUUGGUAGAAAAGGUCCUGGCUUGCAAGUCGGGAUUCAUGAGCUACGGGAGGAGUUGUGACUCUUGCGAGAGAUCGUACAAGGGUUGCAACAAGAGUUUGGAAUUAAGAAGUUUAGAUUGAAUGAGAUUGAGAAGUUGACAACAUCAAUCAAGCUCGUGUGUCAAUUUGUAGUUGUUUUCUUUGUGGGAGUUCUUGUAACUAUUUAUAUGGGUAAAAUAAUGUGACAAUAUUGGAGUACUUGUAACCUAACUAUUUUGUAUGGGUAAAAUAGUGUGAUAGUAUUGGAGUACUUGUAACAAUUCCUCUUUAAUGAAUUGCUUCUUUGUUACCUGAA